UAAGUAGGCGGAGGAAAUGACACAAACAUGGAUUCACUGGGUAACUGCGAGUGACAUGUGAUUUGCUCACAGCUGAUAUUCUUUGCCGUAUGCUUUGACAUGAGGACUUUGAGUGUGGUGCCAAUGGUGGUGUAAGUGUGAGCCAUCUUGGAAAAGAGAAGAGUGUGCACUUACAAGGGUGAGAAGCCUGUGUGUGCUUACAGAAUCUCCACAUGUGGGUCUCACUUUGAGAAUCAUGCUCUUUGGAAGUGGAGUGUAAAGUGGGCGGUAGACUCUUCUCAAAGCUGAGUACAGAACUGGGACAGACAGGGAAGAAGUACCAUGAGGGAAGUGUGAAAAGGACUUUUGAAAGAGACUUAAAAGAGCCUGUACGUGCUGAAGGAUACGCAUACAGCAUGCUUGCAUGUGAGAUGAUUGCUGUGGGUGUGCGGCUGUCUUUGACUGGAUGACUGUGGACAUGUGCCAUGGACACUUGACCACCUAUUGUGUAUCCUCUUGUGUGUGCCAGCAUGUUGGAGACAGUCAGUGUUUGAGCGCAGUGGUUGCUGUGCAUCUCAAGAUACAUCAGAUGUGCACUCAAAGAUCUGAGCAUGUUGAAAAGCAGGUGCAGAAGGGCCCUCCUGUCUGUAUGACCCG
rnacentral:rRNA from 1 species